GACGAACGCUGGCGGCGUGCUUAACACAUGCAAGUCGAACGGGAACCUUUAUUUCGGUAAAGGUGAGAGUGGCAAACGGGUGAGUAACACGUAGGCAACCUGCCGACAGGAUGGGGACAACAUUCCGAAAGGAAUGCUAAUACCGAAUGAAGUCGAGGGAAGGCAUCUUCUUUUGAUGAAAGAUGGCCUCUGAAUAUGCUAUCGCCUGUCGAUGGGCCUGCGUCUGAUUAGCCAGUUGGCGGGGUAACGGCCCACCAAAGCGACGAUCAGUAGCCGGUCUGAGAGGAUGAACGGCCACAUUGGGACUGAGACACGGCCCAGACUCCUACGGGAGGCAGCAGUGGGGAAUCUUCCACAAUGGGCGAAAGCCUGAUGGAGCAACGCCGCGUGAGUGAAGAAGGUCUUCGGAUCGUAAAGCUCUGUUGUACGGGACGAAAACCGGGUUUGAGAAUAUUGAACCC
rnacentral:rRNA from 1 species